CCUUGAUGUUCUACACACGUGGGGAUAUGUGAGGUCGGCCAUGCUGCCAGGCACACCACGGGGCAAGGGCAAGAGGACAUGUGGGAAUCUCCAUGUUGGGUGGACCCAGUUUCUAAUGGCCUGCAUUUGCAUAUCAAAGGUUGCCAGCCCAGUUCUAAGAGCCGGGCUUUCCUGUUAGACAAGAAACGUUUCUGGAGCUGCUUUAAAAGGGACGAAAACUUUCCAAGGACCUCUUUUCCUCUCUAUCUGCCUAAAAUAAUUUCUCAACAACACCUACAGCAGUCACAGCACACCUGGGUCAAUUGGACACAGGAAAAAGAGCCAAAAGGAGGAAGAAAGAUGAAAAAGGAGGAAGCUUGGGAAAUUCACACACUCUAUUAAAAGAUCCGGAACUGAUUUAGCCUGGCAAACUUCCUGCGUGUUUUGUUCAUUGCACUCUAUUCAGA
rnacentral:lncRNA from 1 species